rnacentral:rRNA from 1 species
AUUGAACGCUGGCGGCAGGCCUAACACAUGCAAGUCGAGCGGAUGAAGGGAGCUUGCUCCUGGAUUCAGCGGCGGACGGGUGAGUAAUGCCUAGGAAUCUGCCUGGUAGUGGGGGAUAACGUCCGGAAACGGGCGCUAAUACCGCAUACGUCCUGAGGGAGAAAGGGGGGGAUCUUCGGACCCCACGCUAUCAGAUGAGCCUAGGUCGGAUUAGCUAGUUGGUGGGGUAAAGGCCUACCAAGGCGACGAUCCGUAACUGGUCUGAGAGGAUGAUCAGUCACACUGGAACUGAGACACGGUCCAGACUCCUACGGGAGGCAGCAGUGGGGAAUAUUGGACAAUGGGCGAAAGCCUGAUCCAGCCAUGCCGCGUGUGUGAAGAAGGUCUUCGGAUUGUAAAGCACUUUAAGUUGGGAGGAAGGGCAGUAAGUUAAUACCUUGCUGUUUUGACGUUACCAACAGAAUAAGCACCGGCUAACUUCGUG